rnacentral:rRNA from 1 species
GACGAACGCUGGCGGCGUGCUUAACACAUGCAAGUCGAGCGGUAAGGCCCUUUCGGGGGUACGACGAGCGGCGAACGGGUGAGUAACACGUGGGUGACCUGCCCUCAGCUCUGGGAUAAGCCUGGGAAACCGGGUCUAAUACUGGAUAUGACUCCAUGACGCAUGUUGUGGGGUGGAAAGCCUUGUGCGGCUGAGGAUGGGCCCGCGGCCUAUCAGCUUGUUGGUGGGGUGANGGCCUACCAAGGCGACGACGGGUAGCCGGCCUGAGAGGGCGACCGGCCACACUGGGACUGAGACACGGCCCAGACUCCUACGGGAGGGCAGCAGUGGGGAAGUCUUGCGCAAUGGGCGAAAGCCUGACGCAGCGACGCCGCGUGAGGGAUGACGGCCU